GAGUUUGAUCGUGGCUCAGGAUGAACGCUAGCGGCAGGCUUAACACAUGCAAGUCGAGGGGUAUAGGUUUUCGGACCUAGAGACCGGCGCACGGGUGCGUAACGCGUAUGCAAUCUACCUUUUACAGAGGGAUAGCCCAGAGAAAUUUGGAUUAAUACCUCAUAGUAUUAUGAUAAGGCAUCUUAUUAUAAUUAAAGUUCCAACGGUAAAGAUGAGCAUGCGUCCCAUUAGCUAGAUGGUAAGGUAACGGCUUACCAUGGCGACGAUGGGUAGGGGUCCUGAGAGGGAGAUCCCCCACACUGGUACUGAGACACGGACCAGACUCCUACGGGAGGCAGCAGUGAGGAAUAUUGGUCAAUGGGCGCAAGCCUGAACCAGCCAUGCCGCGUGCAGGAUGACGGUCCUAUGGAUUGUAAACUGCUUUUGACAGGAAGAAACAGUUCUACGUGUAGAACCUUGACGGUACUGUAAAGAAUAAGGAUCGGCUAACUCCGUGCCAGCCGCCGCAGU
rnacentral:rRNA from 1 species